GGCUGGUCCGAUGGUAGUGGGUUAUCAGAACUUAUUAACAUUAGUGUCACUAAAGUUGGUAUACAACCCCCCACUGCUAAAUUUGACUGGCUUNNN
rnacentral:Y_RNA from 1 species